rnacentral:rRNA from 1 species
CAGCCGCCGCGGGAAUACCGAGGGUGCGAGCGUUAAUCGGAUUUACUGGGCGUAAAGCGUGCGUAGGCGGCUUUUUAAGUCGGAUGUGAAAUCCCUGAGCUUAACUUAGGAAUUGCAUUCGAUACUGGGAAGCUAGAGUAUGGGAGAGGAUGGUAGAAUUCCAGGUGUAGCGGUGAAAUGCGUAGAUAUCUGGAGGAAUACCGAUGGCGAAGGCAGCCAUCUGGCCUAAUACUGACGCUGAGGUACGAAAGCAUGGGGAGCAAACAGGAUUAGAUACCCCUGUAGUCCCUGUCUCUUAUAC